rnacentral:rRNA from 1 species
GAUGAACGCUGGCGGCGUGCCUAAUACAUGCAAGUAGAGCGCAGCGGGGACGGGUGAGUAACACGUGGAUAACCUCCUCUAAGCCUGGGAUAACUUCGGGAAACCGGAGCUAAACCGGAUACUUAUAGUUGAAUCCGCGCUGCAUUAGUUAGUUGGUAAGGUAACGGCUUCCCAAGGCAACGAUGCAUACCCGACCUGAGAGGGUGAUCGGCCACACUGGAACUGAAACACGGUCCAGACUCCUACGGGAGGCAGCAGUAGGGAAUCUUCCGCAAUGGGCGGAAGCCUGACGGAGCAACGCCGCGUGAGUGAUGAAGGUCUUCGGAUCGUAAAACUCUGUUAUUAGAGAAGCGGUACCUAAUCAGAAAGGCACGGCUAACUACGUGCCAAGAGCCGGGGGAAUUC